GGGCGUGCGGCGUCCUAAUACAUGCAAGUCGAGCGAACAGAGAAGGAGCUUGCUCCUUUGACGUUAGCGGCGGACGGGUGAGUAACACGUGGGCAACCUACCUUAUAGUUUGGGAUAACUCCGGGAAACCGGGGCUAAUACCGAAUAAUCUGUUCCACCUCAUGGUGGAACACUGAAAGACGGUUUCGGCUGUCGCUAUAAGAUGGGCCCGCGGCGCAUUAGCUAGUUGGUGAGGUAACGGCUCACCAAGGCGACGAUGCGUAGCCGACCUGAGAGGGUGAUCGGCCACACUGGGACUGAGACACGGCCCAGACUCCUACGGGAGGCAGCAGUAGGGAAUCUUCCACAAUGGGCGAAAGCCUGAUGGAGCAACGCCGCGUGAGUGAAGAAGGUUUUCGGAUCGUAAAACUCUGUUGUAAGGGAAGAACAAGUACAGUAGUAACUGGCUGUACCUUGACGGUACCUUAUUAGAAAGCCACGGCUAACUACGUGCCAGCAGCCGCGGUAAUACGUAGGUGGCAAGCGUUGUCCGGAAUUAUUGGGCGUAAAGCGCGCGCAGGCGGUCCUUUAAGUCUGAUGUGAAAGCCCACGGCUCAACCGUGGAGGGUCAUUGGAAACUGGGGGACUUGAGUGCAGAAGAGGAAAGUGGAAUUCCAAGUGUAGCGGUGAAAUGCGUAGAGAUUUGGAGGAACACCAGUGGCGAAGGCGACUUUCUGGUCUGUAACUGACGCUGAGGCGCGAAAGCGUGGGGAGCAAACAGGAUUAGAUACCUUGGUAGUC
rnacentral:rRNA from 1 species